CAAGGAUUCUUUGAAACGCGAGUCUGGAACCAAAGUACAUCAUGCAAACAUCCAGGCUUCGAAGGCUGUUGCAGACAUUAUCCGCACCACCUUGGGUCCAAGAUCCAUGCUGAAGAUGUUGCUUGAUGCUGCUGGAGGGAUUGUGGUUACAAAUGAUGGGAAUGCCAUCCUGCGUGAGCUAGAUCUUGCACACCCAGCAGCAAAGUC
rnacentral:misc_RNA from 1 species